rnacentral:rRNA from 1 species
CCUACGGGAGGCAGCAGUGGGGAAUUUUGGACAAUGGGCGCAAGCCUGAUCCAGCAAUGCCGCGUGAGUGAAGAAGGCCUUCGGGUUGUAAAGCUCUUUUGUCAGGGAAGAAACGGUCUACUCUAAUACAGUGGGCUAAUGACGGUACCUGAAGAAUAAGCACCGGCUAACUACGUGCCAGCAGCCGCGGUAAUACGUAGGGUGCAAGCGUUAAUCGGAAUUACUGGGCGUAAAGCGUGCGCAGGCGGUUAUAUAAGUCAGAUGUGAAAUCCCCGGGCUCAACCUGGGAACUGCAUUUGAGACUGUAUGGCUAGAGUGUGUCAGAGGGGGGUAGAAUUCCACGUGUAGCAGUGAAAUGCGUAGAUAUGUGGAGGAAUACCGAUGGCGAAGGCAGCCCCCUGGGAUAACACUGACGCUCAUGCACAAAAGCGUGGGGAGCAAACAGGAUUAGAUACCCUGGUAGUCCACGCCCUAAACGAUGUCUACUAGUUGUCGGGACUUAAUUGUCUUGGUAACGCAGCUAACGCGUGAAGUAGACCGCCUGGGGAGUCGGUCGCAAGNUUAAAACUCAAAUGAAAUUGACCGGNNGAGAGAGCGACGGACGACACGAGGGAGGAGG